rnacentral:RNase_P_RNA from 1 species
CGAGUAAGUCAGACAGUCGCAUGCAUUUAGCAUGAGGAAAGUCCGAGCUCCACAGGGCAGGGUGCUGGGUAAUACCCAGUGGGGGCGACCCUAAGGAUAGUGCAACAGAAAUAUACCGCCUGCUUUUGCAGGUAAGGGUGGAAAGGUGAGGUAAGAGCUCACCAGCAGCUAGGCGACUAGUUGGCUCUGUAAACCCCAUCUGGAGCAAGACCAAGUUAGGGACAUGAAAAGGUGGUGGCCCGUCACCGUCCCGUUUGGUAGGUCGCUAGAGCCUAUUGGCAACAAUAGGCGUAGAUAGAUGACUGUCAAAUACAGAACUCGGCUUAUAGACUUACUCGCUUA